rnacentral:rRNA from 1 species
UACAGAGGGGGCAAGCGUUGUUCGGAAUUACUGGGCGUAAAGGGCGCGUAGGCGGCUUUGCAAGUGGCGGGUGAAAUCCCUCGGCUUAACCGAGGAACUGCCUGUCAAACUGCAUGGCUUGAGACCAGGAGAGGUGAGUGGAAUUCCCAGUGUAGCGGUGAAAUGCGUAGAUAUUGGGAGGAACACCAGUGGCGAAGGCGGCUCACUGGACUGGUACUGACGCUGAUGCGCGAAAGCGUGGGGAGCAAACAGG